rnacentral:pre_miRNA from 1 species
CAUCUUACAGGACAGCAUUUAGAGUUUAUUCCAUGCUUACUCUAAUACUGUCAGGUAAAGAUGUG